rnacentral:tRNA from 1 species
AAAAAGAUAAGCUAAAUUU